UUGACCUCGGAUCAGCUA
rnacentral:rRNA from 1 species